rnacentral:rRNA from 1 species
CUGGGCGUAAAGGGUACGUAGGCUUUUUUGUAGGUUUUCGGUGAAAGUCACAGGCUUAACUUGUGAAUUGCCGGAAAAACUGCAGAGAUUGAAUCCGAAAGGGGAAAGCAGAAUUCCUGGUGUACCGGUGAAAUGCGUAGAUAUCAGGAGGAAUACCAGUGGCGAAGNCGGCUUUCUGGUUCGGAAUUGACGCUGAUGUACUAAAGCGUGGGUAGCAAACAGGAUUAGAUACCCUGGUAGUCCACGCCUUAAACUAUGGAUACUUGAUGUCGGGGCGUUCGGUCGACCCGGUGUCGUAGCUAACGUGUUAAGUAUCCCGCCUGGGGACUACGGUCGCAAGACUGAAACUCAAAGGAAUUGACGGGGGCCCGCACCAGCGGUGGAACAUGUGGUUUAAUUCGAUGCAACGCGAAGAACCUUACCUGGGCUUGACAUAUAUAUGGCGUAUGUAAGAAAUUAUGUAUUCUGUCUGUUUUUUCAGAUAGCAUAUAUACAGGUGAUGCAUGGCUGUCGUCAGCUCGUGUCGUGAGAUGUAGGGUUAAGUCCCUUAACGAGCGCAACCCUUGCUUUUAGUUGCCAUCAGGUAAUGCUGGGGACUCUAGAAGGACUGCCGAGGUUAACUCGGAGGAAGGUGGGGAUGACGUCAAGUCAGUAUGUCCCUUAUGUCCAGGGCUACACACGUGUUACAAUGGUCGGUACAGAGUGACGCUAAUCCACGAGGUGGCGCCAAUCACUUAAAGCCGAUCCCAGUUCGGAUUGGAGUCUGCAAUUCGACUCCAUGAAGUUGGAAUCGCUAGUAAUCGCAGAACAGCAUGCUGCGGUGAUACGUUCCCGGGCAUUGUACACACCGCCCGUCACGCCAUGGAAGUUGGGAGUACCCGAAGUUGCUGUCCAUACGUU